UUGGUGACAGAAAACNGGCUAAGCCCUUGU
rnacentral:piRNA from 1 species